CUGAGUGUAAAAACUCCCAAACCACUGUGAACAUACCACUGUUGCUUCGGCGGCCUCGUCCCGCGGUGCGCGCCCCCAGGCGCUGCGACCCGGAUCCAAGGCGACCGCCGGAGGCUCCAAACUCUUGUCUUUAUAGUGACUUUCUGAGUGGCAUAAGCAAAUAAAUCA
rnacentral:misc_RNA from 1 species